UUUUUUAACUGUUUAUUUUAAACUUUAAUGUGAGAUUAAUAGAUUCGUAAGAUUUCUUCGGUGUACAUUUUUAGUAGGAAUUAAUUUCUGUACCUUUUGUAUAAGAGUCUAUCAAGAUUUAAAAUAUCCAUUUUAUUUUCCCGACGGUAAGGAAUUUAUUAAAUUGGGUUAAUUUAAUGUUUCAAUAUUAAAUUAAACUUUUUAAUAAUUGGCUAGAUACUAUAUUGCCCUUACAGGUAUCUGGUUAGCUUUAGAAUUAUAUUUAGUAUAGAGCUUUUUAGUAAAAGUAUUUAUGAUGUUUUGGCUAAGCAGAAUGUGGGAGUUUAUUGAAUUCAGUUGUAAAGAUUAUUAGUUGGAUAGGCUUAAUGUUAGCAAUUAGUUAGUUUGUUAUAAAAAAUCUAAUGAUGGGUUAUUAAAUUAGUUUUGGAGUCAUUAAUUAAAUAGGCUUAAAUUUUAAUAAAAUUGCAAUAAUGAUUAGAAUUAGUAGAAAAUAUCAUUAUAAAUUAUUACUAAGUUAUAAGUAGAAAUAAUUUAAGUGUUUGUUUAUUUAAUUUUUUUGUAAUUAAUUCGGCAAACUUACUUUCCGAAUGUUUAACAAAAACAUUUCCUCUUGAGUUUUAUUAUGAGAGGUAGGCCCUGCCCUAUGCUCAAUUGAGUAAAUGGCUGCAUAAAUCUGAGUGUACGAAGGUAGCAUGAUAAUUUGUCCUUCAAAUGGGGGCCUGUAUGAAUGGGUUCACGUGAUAGUUGCUGUGUCACAAAAAUUUAUUGAAAUUAACUUUUAGGUGAGGAGGCCUAGUUGAGUCUAAAGGACGACAAGACCCUAGAAGCUUCACUAAGGAUGAGUUAUAAAGUAACUUAUUUUAGUUUUGUUGGGGCAACAUAGUUAGAAAAUAUAACUUGUUUUUAUAUUAACUUACAAGUUGAAGCCACGGUAGUGAGCAGGAUAAGCUACUCUAGGGAUAACAGCGUAAUUUCUUUUUAUAGUGCUUAUUGUAAAAGUAGUUUGCGACCUCGAUGUUGGAUUAAGGUAUCCUUAAGGUGUAUAAUUUUUAAAGGGUUGGUCUGUUCGUCCAUUAAAACCUUACAUGAUCUGAGUUCAGACCGGUGUGAGCUAGGUCAGAUUCUAUCCUUAUAUUUGUAAAUGUAAUUAAAUUAGUACGAAAGGAAUUUUUAAUUUAAAGAUGUUUAAGUUAUUUGAUUUACAAAAUUGGCUCUAAUAAAUAGUCUUACUUGUACAAGUUCAAAAAUAUGUGU
rnacentral:rRNA from 1 species